rnacentral:rRNA from 1 species
AUUGAACGCUGGCGGCAUGCUUUACACAUGCAAGUCGAACGGUAACAGGCCGCAAGGUGCUGACGAGUGGCGAACGGGUGAGUAAUGCAUCGGAACGUGCCCAGUCGUGGGGGAUAACGCAGCGAAAGCUGUGCUAAUACCGCAUACGAUCUAUGGAUGAAAGCGGGGGACCGUAAGGCCUCGCGCGAUUGGAGCGGCCGAUGUCAGAUUAGGUAGUUGGUGGGGUAAAGGCCCAGCAAGCCAACGAUCUGUAGCUGGUCUGAGAGGACGACCAGCCACACUGGGACUGAGACACGGCCCAGACUCCUACGGGAGGCAGCAGUGGGGAAUUUUGGACAAUGGGCGCAAGCCUGAUCCAGCAAUGCCGCGUGCAGGAAGAAGGCCUUCGGGUUGUAAACUGCUUUUGUACGGAACGAAAAGGCUCUCUCUAAUACAGGGGGCUCAUGACGGUACCGUAAGAAUAAGCACCGGCUAACUACGUGCCAGCCGCCGCAGUAAUAC